UCAUAGUUGAAAGUAAAUUUAUUUUCAAACUAAUAUAUAUGUGUGUGUGUGUGUGUGUGUGUGUGUGUGUGUGUAUAAUAUAUAUGUAUAUAUUCUCCUGUCUUCUCCCAAUAACCUUUCACGCCCUGACUAAUCAAGAACCUAUCAACCUCCAUUUUAAAUACAUCCAUUGACUUGGUCUCCACAGCUCUCUCAGGCAUUGUAUUUUACAGAUUCACCACAACAUGGCUAAAUAAAUUCUUCUUUAUCUCUAUUCUAAAGGGACAUCCUUCUGUCCCGAGGCUAGAUUCUCCCACUGUGGGAAACAUCCUCUCCAUACCCACUCUAGCUCAGGCUUUCGGGUCAAGCCACCAGUAUAUCGGCACAUGGUCAGAUAAAUAUCAAUUGCCACAGUGACUUUCUACAUCAGGCUGGCAGUGUGCAGGGAGGAAGGGUUUCCACACACAAAGACUGCUGUUGGAAAUGCUCACCAUUGCUGUUUUGCAAAAUGCUUUGCUAGCAAUUACCUGAUGGAGUCAAAGCCAAUAUCAGAAUUAGGUUUAUAGUCAAUGUUCUGGGCCGAGACCCUUCAUCAGGACUGGAAAGGAAGGGGAAAGAUGGUGGGGGAGAGGGGUCAACACCUGAGAGUCUCUUGUGUUCUUUGUUGAUUCUAUUGUAUUUCUUUGUUCCACAGUGAAUGUUUGCAAAGAAUAAAAUAGUGGCGGAGGUCGGCAAUGGCUCAGCCUAAAAUGUCGACCGUUUAUUCCCCUCCAUAGAUGAUGCCUGACCUGCUGCGUACCUGCAGCACUUUGUGUGAAUUAUUCUGGAUUUCCAACAUCUGCAGAAUCUCUUGUGUGUGUGUUAUCACUGAGAUAUGUCAUGAAAUGUGUUAUUUAGCAGCAGAAAUACAGUUCAAGACAUAAGAAUUAGUGUAAGUUACAAAAAAAAGUAGUGCAAAAGAGGAAUGGUGAGGUAAGUCACAAAGACAAGGAAGUCUGCAGACACUGGAAAUUUUAGAGUCCUGCUGAAGGGCCUCGGCCUGAAACGUCAACCCUUUACUCGUUUCCAUAGAUGCUGCCUGACCUGCUGAGUUCCUCCAGCAUUUUGUAAUGGUGUCCGGUGUGCAUGACGAAGCCGGUGGAGUUGAUCGCCCUCUGGGGCUUUCUUCAAUCCUCAGCAGUGGCUCCUCCACUCCAGAUGCUGAUGCAAGCAGUCAGAAUGUUCUCCACGAGAUACAGCACAGUAACACACCCUCCUGGCCCAACAAGCCCGCACCACCGAGUAUACCCAUGUGACCAAUUAACCCCCUACAUCUUCGAAAUGUGGGAGGAAACUGGAGCUCCCAGAGGAAUCCCACAUGGAAAGUACAAACUCUGUAGACAGGCUGAGUCAGCAGUAGGGAAGGUAAUUGCAAUCUAAUCCUCGAUUUCAAGAGGGCUAGAACAUAAAAGCAAGGUUGUAAUACUUCAUAAGGCAUUGGCCGGUCUGCACUUGGAUUAUUGUGAGCUGGUUUGUGUCCUUGUCUGAGAAAAGAGGUGCUGGCACUGGAGGUGGUUCAGAGGAGAAUGACCCUAGCAAUGAAAGGCUAUGAGGAGCGUUUGACAGCUCUGGACCUGUGCUUGCUGGAGUUUGGAAGAAUGUGAAGAGAUCUCAUUGAAACCUAUCGAAUAUUGAAAGAAUAUUGAAAUAUGGCGGGAGGAGAAGAUGGCACGACGCAAGCUUGCAGCGGCCACUCCGGUGAUGAUAUCUGUUAUCUGUCAAGUAGGGUGCCGUGCACUAUCCUGAUUUGAUGGAGACACGGAGAAGCAUCUGUGAAACUUCUGAAAUGCCUCCUUCGUUGCCAUUGCUGCUGUGUGAUCCAGAAUCUCCAGAGAAGGCCCCGAGUCCUCGGCUCUGCUUGUUGCUCAGUGGCCGGGGCGGGAUGGAAGCGCUCGGCAGAGAUGGUGCUCAGUGUUGGAGGUCUGGUUGGAGGCUUGAAGUUUUCGGGCGGACUCAGAGUCCGCUGCAGUCAGGUGUUUCCAAUGCAUCAGCAAGUUUAUGGCGCUUGGAGUUCAUGGCAGGGAGAGUUACUCCCUUCUACCGUCUGCGUGAGAUGAUGGGCUAUCGGGACUUGAGACUUUUUUUUACUGUGCCCAUGGUCUGCUCUUUAUCAAAUUACGGUAUUGUUUUGCACUGUUGUAACUAUAUGUUAUAAUUAUGUGGUUUUGUCAGUUUUAGUCUUGGUUUGUCCUGUGUUUUCUUGUGAUAUGUUUCUGGAGGAACAUUGUAUCAUUUUUUAACACGUGCAUUUCUAAAUGACAAUAAACGAGGACUGAGUGUCCUCAUAAUCUAAUAACCUAGAUAGAGUGAAUGUGGGGAGGACGAUUCCUGUGGCGGGUGAGUCUAGGACCAGAGGGCACAGCCUCAUAAUACAAGGAACAUCCCUUUAGAACAGAGGUGAGGAGGACUUUCUUUCCCUGGAGAGUGGUGAAUCUGUGGAGGCCAAGGCAUUGGGUAUACUUAAAGCAAAAGUUGAUAGGUUUUUGAUUAGUGAGGGUGUCAAUGAUUAUGGGGAGAAGGGGAUUGAGAAGAAUAACAAAACAGCCAUGAUAGAAUGACGGAGCAGACUUGAUGGGCAGUCUCCCAUUUGUUACAGUCAAUAAUAUGUGCAAUUCACGUUCUUGCGUCUCUCUGUUGCAAGUUGCCCUGCAGGUCCUCCAUGGAGAUGUGCUCUGCACCUACUUGCCCAGUUUACUCUAACAGCCCCUCCCUAACCCACAAGCACCAAAUACAAAUGCAGCUGCAAAGAAAUUAUAAAAUGCUGUUUUUGUUCACAGUCACACACCAGCCAGGCUUUAAAACUAGAGCACUCCUACCACUCUGUGUGUUAAAUAAAACUGCCUCUGACAUCCAUCCUGUCCCACACGCUCAUCCAAUCACCGUCUGCAGAUGCUGGAAAUCCAGAGUAAUAGACGCAACUUGCUGGAGGAACUCGGCAGGUCAGGCAGCAUCUAUGGAGGGGAAUAAACUGUUGACGUUUCAGGCCGAGACCCUUCAUCAAGACUACACUAACAAAAAGACAAGAGAUUCUGCGGGUGCUGGAAAUCCAGAGCAACACACACAAACUGCUGGAGGAAUUUAGCAGGUCGGGCAGCAUCUAUAGAGGGGAAUAAACGGUUAACGUUUCGGGCCGAGAUCCUUCAUCAGGACUGGAAGAUAGUGGGGCAGAAUCCGGAAUAAGAAUGGGUUAGGGAGGAGUACAAACUGACGGGCAAUAGCUGAAACAACACACAAAAUGCAGGAGGAACUCUACUCUCUGAGCAUUAUCUUGUUCUUCUUCCUUUACUCGGUCUGUAUGUUUAUCUGUCUGUCUUAUUAUAAUUAUUGGCACAGUUUUUCCUCUUUUGCAUAAUGGAAGUUUGGCGGUCUUUGUUGUGUGUUUUUCCCCCGGAUUUUUAUUGUAUUUCUUU